GAUCCGGACCCAUGCGAUCGCAACGCCUAAACCUUGUCAGAGCUUGACCGCAGCAGCAAUACAGGAUGCUUGUGAUAGGCGUGGUAUCCGGGUCACU
rnacentral:SRP_RNA from 1 species